rnacentral:sRNA from 1 species
CAAGCCUGUGCUCCCGGAAAGGCACUGGGCGACCGCACCCGUGGCUUUCUCUGGGGGACUGGGUCCCAGACUCCCCCCAGCACAGCAGAGCGCCUUCCUGCCCACCCGCGGAAACGGCCCCAGGAUGCAGCACCGAGGCUUCCUCCUCCUCACCUUCCUCGCCCUGCUGGCGCUCACCUCCGCGGUGGCCAAAAAGAAAGAUAAGGUGAAGAAGGGCGGCCCGGGGAGCGAGUGCGCUGAGUGGGCCUGGGGGCCCUGCACCCCCAGCAGCAAGGAUUGCGGCGUGGGUUUCCGCGAGGGCACCUGCGGGGCCCAGACUCAGCGCAUCCGGUGCAGGGUACCUUGCAACUGGAAGAAGGAGUUUGGAGCCGACUGCAAGUAUAAGUUUGAGAACUGGGGUGCGUGUGAUGGGGGCACAGGCACCAAAGUCCGCCAAGGCACCCUGAAGAAGGCGCGCUACAAUGCUCAGUGCCAGGAGACCAUCCGCGUCACCAAGCCCUGCACCCCCAAGACCAAAGCAAAGGCCAAAGGUCAGCGAAAGGAGAAGGGGGUGGGGCUGUCGCGGGGGGCUGCCCCCUCACCUGUGAGGGGACCA